rnacentral:rRNA from 1 species
ACGGCUCAGUAACACGUAGUCAACAUGCCCAGGGGACGUGGAUAACCUCGGGAAACUGAGGAUAAACCGCGAUAGGUCAUCACUUCUGGAAUGGGUAAUGACUUAAACCUAUAUGGCCCCUGGAUUGGACUGCGGCCGAUCAGGCUGUUGGUGAGGUAAUGGCCCACCAAACCUGUAACCGGUACGGGCUCUGAGAGGAGGAGCCCGGAGAUGGGCACUGAGACAAGGGCCCAGGCCCUAUGGGGCGCAGCAGGCGCGAAACCUCUGCAAUAGGCGAAAGCUUGACAGGGUUACUCUGAGUGAUUUCCGUUAAGGAGAUCUUUUGGCACCUCUAAAAAUGGUGCAGAAUAAGGGGUGGGCAAGUCUGGUGUCAGCCGCCGCGGUAAUACCAGCACCCCGAGUGGUCGGGACGUUUAUUGGGCCUAAAGCAUCCGUAGCCGGUUCUACAAGUCUUCCGUUAAAUCCACCUGCUUAACAGAUGGGCUGCGGAAGAUACUAUAGAGCUAGGAGGCGGGAGAGGCAAGCGGUACUCGAUGGGUAGGGGUAAAAUCCGUUGAUCCAUUGAAGACCACCAGUGGCGAAGGCGGCUUGCCAGAACGCGCUCGACGGUGAGGGAUGAAAGCUGGGGGAGCAAACCGGAUUAGAUACCCGGGUAGUCCCAGCUGUAAACGAUGCAGACUCGGUGAUGAAUUGGCUUAUUGCUAAUUCAGUGCCGCGGGGAAGCCGUUAAGUUUGCCGCCUGGGGAGUACGGUCGCAAGACUGAAACUUAAAGGAAUUGGCGGGGGAG